CUGGAAGGUAACUCACCUCAAAGUAGCUGCUGAACUGAUCGGGAACUAACUGACUGCUGCUGCUCCGGGAGUCCUCCGGCUGCAAUUUCCACGACAUACUCAAUCAAACACUGCUAACUGUCCUUUAGGUAAAAUGACCAUUUUACCCCUGGAUUAACUCUAAGCCAAAGCUGGAGUCAACUUUCAGUUGACCCGACUCGCCGAGUGGAUCACCACUCGCCGAGUCCCUAGCAAACCAAUGUCCUGGGUCCCUGGUUCUACUCGUCGAGUCGGGCUAUGACUCGACGAGUUCACCUUCUAACUGCCAUUCAACACCUUCAUCCUACUCGCCGAGUUGUAUGAACAACUCGUCGAGUUCAUCUUCAUCCGAUGAACACUUUAUGCUAAGACUCGCCGAGUUGUAUGAACAACUCGCCGAGUCUGUUCUUGAGCUAUGAAGAUUGCCUUGGACUCGCCGAGUCAGGGCAUUGACUCGCCGAGUCCUAACAUGGGUGAGUUCAGCUCCCAACUCACCGAGUCACCCCCUGUGACUCAAGGCUCAACUCGACACAUGAAGAAGGGACCAAUUCGGUGACUCGCGACCAGACUCGCCGAGUCACCUAUGCGACUCGCCGAGUCGUCGCCAUGCACUCCUUAAAUAUACCGAUUUGCUCGGUUCCAGACCAUGCCAUUCAUAGAUCUGGACUUCUAGGACACGAAUCACACGUAAAGUUUCCAACUUUACGUGUGGAUAUUCACCAAUAUGGAUUAUAAGGCUCAAAAUGUCUCAAAAUGGUAGAUCUAGGGCUAACAAGCCUCAUGAGGCCAAAAAGCUAACAGAUCUGAGCUCCUGGAGCUCAAUCUUACAUAGAUCCAAAGGCCAAACGCCUUAUUACAACAUAUAAUGAACAUGCAAACUUGGGGAAUUGACCAAGAAGGACCCAAAUGAAGUUUUAAGCAUAGAAUCAAGGGGAAAACGGGUUAUACCUCAAAGGAAAUGUUGAAAUGACACAAGGAUGGCUGAUCUCCUUCUCCUCUUCUUGAUCUACUCCUCUUACUCUUCAAAACCUUCAAGAACACACCAAGAACACCUCAAACUCUCAAGGAAACAAGGGAAAACGAUGUAGGGGGAGUUCUGGGGGUGAAUGGGGACGAGUUGGGGCGGAAUGAGGGUUUAAAUAGGGUGCAAACCCUUGAAACUUAGGGUUUCAUCCCGCAGCGGUGACUCGCCGAGUCCAGGAUAUGGACUCGUCGAGUCGCCUACUUAAAACGCGUCCUGAGUCUCGUCCCUACUCGGCGAGUCGGACCCUAUGACUCGCCGAGUCUAAGGCUAAAUUAGGGCAAUGCUCAAAUAAAAUUCACAUACCGGAAACCAGGUGCUACAAAUCUCCCCCACUUAUUUUAGACUUCGUCCUCGAAGUCUGCUGCCUGAUCCUGAAACAGCUCGGGGUAGUGCUCCAUCAUCUCGUCUACCGGCUCCCAAGUCCACUCUGAACCCUUGCGGUGCUGCCAUUGCACCUUCACUAGCUCCACCCUCUUGUUCCUUAAAUCCUUCGACUUCCUGUCGAGGAUUGCGACUGGGCGCUCGAUGUAGUUCAGGCUGUCAUCAACCUGAAUAUCCUCCAAAGGUACUACUGCAGAAUCGUCCACUAGGCACUUCCGCAACUGCGAAACAUGGAAAGUGCUGUGGAUCUGGCUAAGCUCGGCUGGCAGAUCCAGCCUAUAUGCUACCUUGCCCACCCGGGCUAAGACCCUGAACGGUCCGAUGAAUCGCGGGCCCAACUUGCCCCGCUUCCUGAAUCGGAUGACGCCUUUCCACGGUGACACCUUCAGGAGGACCAUAUCCCCGACCUGGAACUCUAAAUCGGAUCGACGCUUGUCGGCAUAACUUUUCUGUCGACUCUGAGCAGUCUGAAGCCUGCUCCGGACCUGCUGUAUCCUCUCAGUCGUCUUGAGCACCACUUCGGUGCUUCCCAUAACUCUCUGGCCAACCUCACCCCAGCAUAUCGGGGUCCUACACCUCCGUCCGUACAACAUCUCGAAGGGAGGGCGGUCGAUACUCGCGUGAUAGCUGUUGUUGUAGGAGAACUCAGCCAAAGGAAGAUAGGUAUCCCAGCUACCACCGAAAUCCAGAACACACGCCCGCAACAUGUCCUCCAAAGUCUGGAUGGUCCGCUCACUCUGUCCAUCUGUCUGCGGGUGAAAGGCGGUGCUGAAAUGCAGACGAGUGCCCAACUCGUCAUGGAAUCUCUUCCAAAACCUGGAAGUAAAACGCACAUCCCUGUCCGAGAUCACCGAUACUGGCACCCCAUGCCGUGCCACAAUCUCCCUGAUAUAGAUGUCGGCCAAUUUCUCGGCCGAUAUGCUCUCCGGAAUCGGAAUAAAGUGAGCACUCUUGGUCAAUCUAUCCACGAUGACCCAAAUCGAAUCCACUCCACGCGCGGUCCUGGGAAGCUUCGUGAUAAAAUCCAUCGUGAUAUCUUCCCACUUCCACAGUGGAAUGUCCAACGGCUGCAUCUUGCCAUGCGGCCUCUGAUGUUCGGCCUUGACCUUCCUGCAGGUCAAGCACCGCUCGACGUACCAUGCCACAUCCCGCUUCAUGCAGGGCCACCAAUAGUCUAGACGAAGAUCCCUAUACAUCUUCGUCGCCCCGGGAUGAAUAGAGAAUCGGGACUUGUGCGCCUCCUCCAUCAAAAUCUGGCGCACGCCCCCGUGAUACGGCACCCACACCCUAUGGUGUAGUGUCAAUAACCCUCGGCUAUCAUAAUCGAAGGAGGAAACCUGACCUACUACGCGCUCGUUCUUCCGAUGCUCCUCCUUGAUAGCCUCCUGUUGAGCUUCCCGAAUCUGCUCCAACAGGGGAGUCACCACAGUCAUCCUCAAACAGGCGUCCCUGAUCGGCGCCGUCUUGCGGCUAAGCGCAUCGGCCACCACAUUGGCCUUUCCCGGGUGGUAAAGGAUCUCGCAAUCAUAAUCCUUCACCACAUCCAACCACCGACGCUGCCUCAUGUUCAGAUUCGGCUGGUCCAUGAGGUACCUCAAGCUCUUGUGGUCCGUGUAGAUGGUACACCGAACCCCAUAGAGGUAAUGUCGCCAAAUCUUGAGGGCAAAUACCACCGCCCCCAACUCCAAAUCGUGCGUCGGGUAGUUCGCCUCGUGAGGCUUGAGCUGCCUCGAAGCGUAAGCAAUGACAUGCCCCCUUUGCAUCAGCACCGCGCCCAACCCAGAAAUGGACGCAUCGCAAUAAACCACGAAAUCCUCUACGCCCUCUGGCAGGGCUAAGAUCGGCGCCUCACACAAUCUCUGUCUCAGCGUCUCAAAUGCAGCCUGCUGCUCGGGUCCCCACCGAAAGACCACGGCUUUCUUCGUCAGCCGCGUCAGGGGCACGGCUAUCUUGGAGAAAUCCUGGAUAAAUCUCCGAUAGUAGCCUGCCAAUCCUAGGAAGCUCCGAAUCUCAGAUGGGGACUUCGGAACCUCCCAUCUCAUCACGGCCUCGACCUUGGCCGGAUCGACCAGAAUCCCGUUCUGGUUGACGAGGUGCCCCAGAAAUUGCACCUCGCGCAACCAAAACUCACACUUGGAGAACUUGGCAUACAAGCUCUCCCUCCUCAGGGUCUCUAACACCUCUCUCAAAUGCUCCUCAUGUUCCUCCCGGGUCUUGGAAUAAACCAAGAUAUCAUCGAUAAAGACUAUCACAGACCGGUCCAGCAUCGGUCUGCAUACACGGUUCAUGAGGUCCAUGAACGCGGCAGGAGCAUUGGUGAGCCCAAACGGCAUCACCACAAACUCGUAAUGGCCAUAGCGCGUCCGAAACGCGGUCUUCUGCAUAUCCUCCUCCCUGACCCUCAUCUGAUGAUAACCCGAACGCAAAUCAAUCUUGGAGAACCAAGAUGCGCCCUGAAGCUGGUCAAAGAGGUCAUCAAUCCUCGGAAGCGGGUAACGGUUCUUCACCGUUACCUUGUUCAGCUCCCGAUAAUCUAUACACAUCCGAUGCGACCCAUCCUUCUUCUUCACAAACAGAAUCGGGGCUCCCCAGGGCGAACUGCUCGGCCGAAUAAAUCCCUUGUCCAGCAGCUCCUGCAGCUGCGUAGACAACUCCUGCAUCUCGGGAGGAGCCAACCGAUACGGUGCUUUGGCUAUCGGAGCCGCACCGGGAACGAGGUCAAUCCUGAACUCCACCUGUCGCUCCGGAGGUAUCCCAGGUAGUUCCUCCGGAAAAACAUCAGCAAAAUCUCGAACCACCGGGACCUCGCUCACGGUCGCCUUACCCGCCUCCCGGGUGUCCAUCACGUACGCGACAUAACCCGCGCAUCCCUGCUGAAGGUAGCGCCUAGCCCUCGCUGCUGAACAUACAGUGGGUCCACACUGCGGCCGCUCUCCAUGAAUCACUAACUCUCCCCCGCUUGGGGUCUUGACUCGCACUAGCUGCUGUGCGCAAUCUAUCACUGCCCCAUUAGGGCUCAACCAAUCCAUACCAAUAAUCACCUUGUUCCCACGCAAUGGAAUGGGAACCAAGUCUACCAGGUAACACUCCUCAAACAGUCGCAGGACACAAUCUCGAAACACCAUCGAUGCUCGCACCGAUCGAUCAUCGGCAAUCUCUACCUCUAACGGGCAAUCUAACUCGCCUGAAGUCUCAUGAAAUCUCUUGCUAAGAGCAAGAGAAACGAACGAUCGGGAUGCACCCGAGUCGAACAAUACCUGAACCGGGAUGCCGUUCACAUGGAACGAUCCUAAUACACAUGUAUACACACGGAGCACAUAUCAAUAUCAUAACAACGUAAAAUAAAAGAUAGAAGGAAGGAAUCAUACCCGUCACCACAUCGGGCGCGGCGCGUGCCUCCUCGGCAGUCAACUGAAAUGCCCGACUCCUCACCACUGGAGCCUCUGCCUUGCCCUGACGGCCAUCCGUGAUCCGCAGGGUCGCUGGAGCUGGCGCCUUCACUGGCGCUGAAGCUGUCAACAUGGGGCAAUUGGCCUUCUUGUGGCCCCUCUGGUUGCAGUGGAAACACAGCAACUCCGAUGUCUGAAUAACGGUCGCAGGAGCAGUGCAAUCCCUGCUGAUAUGCCCAAACUUGCCGCACUUGUAGCAGCCUGACGAUCCCAUCCUGCACGCCCCCUCGUGCGCCCUGCCGCACCUCCUGCAGCGGCUCGGUCCCGACUGGCCUUUCGGCCUCCCAUCUGAUCCCUUGGGCUUCUUCCCCGAAGCCCCUGAUGACUGACCAUCCUCAAGUUUCCGUUUCCGGAUGUGCUCCAAAUCUAUCUCUCUCUCCCUAGCCCUGGCAAUCAUGGAGUCCAGGGUAGGGCAAGCCGAAAAACUAACAUGCUCCCGAAUGUCAGCUCGUAGCAUAUCGUGGUAACGAGUCCUCCUCAUAUCCUCGUCACCUGCAUACUGGGGCACCAAUAAAGCCCUCUCCCGAAACUUGGCGGUGAUCUCCGCCACGGUCUCUGUCGUCUGCCUCAUGUCUAAGAACUCCCUGGCCAGCUGCUGAAGCUCGACCGCUGGCGCAAACUCUGCCCUGAACCUAGCCACAAAGUCCGACCAGGUCAUUGCCUCGAUAGCCGAGGCUCCCAUCGAGUCACCCACUGACUCCCACCAAUCUCGGGCCCGGUCCCGUAAACACCCUGCUGCGUACCUCACCUUCGACCCCUCGGGGCAGAAGCUGAUCAACUGGGCGGACUCGAUAUCCGCAAUCCACCGCCUGGCGACAAUGGGGUCCUUCACCCCAUGGAAAUCCGGCGCACCACUGCUCCUGAAGUCCUUGAAGGACAGUGUGCGAGAUCCUGACUGGCUAGAGGCCAAGUCGCUCCUGAAUGCCCGUAGGCGAUCCUCCAUCAUCUCCACGAUCCCUUCCUUGAUCGACCCAAAGAUGAUGGGGGUCGACUCAAGGAUGCCCCUAGUGAUCUCCGACGUGAUGAACUCACGUAGCCUCUCCUCAAUCGGCUCGGUGCCAGAUCCCGAACCUGACCCCUCUCCUGACCCGCCAUCUGUCGGUCUCGGUCGAAGUACCACCAUUCUGCAAAACAUCAAUAAUAAUCAUUAGUGGUACUGCUACUUUCUGAGGGAUCUCAACUACUUACAGGUUCCUUGGUCUCGUCUUGGCCUUCCUCGGCUCGGGUACGGAUCCUCUGCUUUCAGUAGUACGGGCCCAUACUACCUUCCACAUCUAUCCGUACCUUCUCCGAGGAAUUCCUCGACUCCACCAACUCCCCUCUACUACUGCUACUCUCCGAUAUUCUCACCCUAGGCUUGCCCUAGGGAGAACUCAAGUUCAACACAACUGGUCCUCAGCUGCUGUAGGUCUCCUCAUAAUGCCAGUUAGCCACCACCUAAACACCACCACCUGUGAUGAGGAUUAGAUCAUCCUUCAAGUAAAAGACCCGUCCCUACAACGGUUGGACUCAAACAAGAGCUGCGCAAUAGGGCCAGUUCCAACACUUUGGGAUUAUUCAACCCCGAUUACAUGUGGUGUGACGUGUUUACCUAGUGGCUCACUCCCAUUACUCAGAAUCCCACCGAGCACGAAGCAAGCAGCAUUCGGAUAAGGAAAAACAGACUCAAGCCAAAACUGUUCUUAGAACAAGAAACGACACUUAACAUAGGAUGCUAAGCUCAUACUAUCAGGCAUAACCUAAACAGGCUACCCUACUGCUGUCUACUCAAUUCUAGCAUGCAAUAUUCAAUAAGCUGUAACAAAUAAACAGGCACAUAAGGCAUCACUCCUAGAUCCUUAGCCUAUUCUAGCAUGCAAUAUUCAUAAAGCUGAUAAACAUAACAUAAACUUGUAUGGGUACUAUGGGGAAUACUUACUUGAGCUCGGCCGGUCGCGCACGUCACACACUUUACUCUUUCUCAAAACUCUUUUCUCAAUUUUAGAAAACAUUUUCUUUUAGAAAAUCUUUUAAUCCCUCGAUUUGAGUUCAGACACUCCCGAAGGUGUGUCCGAAUCCCUCAAACCAGGGCUCUGAUACCAACUUGUAACGACCCAAUUUUUACGUCCGAAAAUUUCAUUUUUAAAAUAUUACUUUAGAAAACAUUAAUAAAUAAAAACAUUGUCUAAAUAAAAAGAAACAUUGUUUGUUCACACCAUAACACAUUGCAACCAUGUUCUCAAAAGCCAAACCGUACAUCCCAUCAAAUAUCAGAGUACAAUCCCAGUAAAUCUCAUAAAUGCGGAAACCGAAGAGUGUGUGUAUGACGUGCCGCUACCGCGCCGGCUCCUUCCCCUUCGAUGCAGAGGUACCUGAAAACAAAACUGUAAACGUAAGCACAAAGCUUAGUGAGUUCCCCCAACGUACCGCAUACCAUACGAACACAUAACAUAUAUACUGCCAGGCUAUUCUGGGGUGCCUGACUACCCGGUACGGCCAUUCUGGGGUGCCGACCUACCCGUGUCAAGCCAUUCUGGGGUGCUGACCUACCCAUACGGCCAUUCUGGGGUGCCGUCUUACCCGUGUCAAGCCAUUCUGGGGUGCUGACUACCCAUCGGUCCUGACAACCGAUUCUCGGGGACUAUUUCACCCCUACUACUAUGAUCACAUAUAACAUAACAAGCCAGCAUGCAAACAUAUCAUCACAUACUGUCAGACGUAUCUGGGGUGUCUGACUACCCUUCGGUCCUAACGACCGAACUUUACUACUAUCACAGACAACAUAUCAUGCUAGCAUAUAACAUAUCAGGUAAUAGCAAACUUAGAUGAUAUCACAAAGACAAUCAUCUACCAUACAUCUCCUACUGGUGGGUCGGCAUUGUGGCCUUAGACCCACCGCUACUGGAAGGUAACUCACCUCAAAGUAGCUGCUGAACUGAUCGGAAACUGACUGCCUACUGCUGCCGCUGCUGCUCCGGAAAUCCUCCGGCUGCAAUUUCCACAAUAAACCCAAUCAAACAUUGCUCACUGACCUUUGGGUAAAAUGACCAUUUUACCCAUGACCAUGCCCUAAGUCAAAGUCAGAGUCAACUUUCAGUUGACCCGACUCGCCGAGUUGGCUUUCCAACUCGCCGAGUCCCUGCCCAAACGACUGCCCUGAAUCCCGAUCCUACCCGUCGAGUUAGGCGACGACUCGACGGGUUCACCUUCUUAACCAAUAUUCAAGUCCUUCAUCCUACUCGCCGAGUUGUAUGAACAACUCGUCGAGUUCAUCUUCAUCCGAUGAACACUUUAUGCUAAGACUCGCCGAGUUGUAUGAACAACUCGUCGAGUCUGUUCUUGAGCUAUGAAGAUUGCCUUGGACUCGCCGAGUCAGGGCAUUGACUCGCCGAGUCCUAACAUGGGUGAGUUCAGCUCCCAACUCACCGAGUCACCCCCUGUGACUCAAGGCUCAACUCGACACAUGAAGAAGGGACCAAUUCUGUGACUCGCGACCAGACUCGCCGAGUCACCUAUGCGACUCGCCGAGUCGUCGCCAUGCACUCCUUAAAUAUACCGAUUUGCUCGGUUCCAGACCAUGCCAUUCAUAGAUCUGGGCUUCUAGGACACGAAUCACACGUAAAGUUUCCAACUUUACGUGUGGAUAUCCACCAAUAAGGAUUAUAAGGCUCAAAAUGUCCCAAAAUGGUAGAUCUAGGGCUAACAAGCCUUAUGGGGCCAAAAAGCUAACAGAAUUGAGCUCCUGGAGCUCAAUCUUACAUAGAUCCAAAGGCCAAACGCCUUAUUACAACAUAUAAUGAACAUGCAACUUGGGAAAUUGACCAAGAAGGACCCAAAUGAAGUUUUAAGCAUAGAAUCAAGGGGAAAACGGGUUAUACCUCAAAGGAAAUGUUGAAAUGACACAAGGGUGGCUGAUCUCCUUCUCCUCUUCUUGAUCUACUCCUCUUACACUUCAAAACCUUCAAGAAUACACCAAGAACACUUCAAACUCUCAAGAAAACAAGGGGAAAACGAUGUAGGGGGAGUUCUGGGGUGAAUAGGGACGAGUUGGGGCGGAAUGAGGGUUUAAAUAGGGGGCAAACCCUUGAAACUUAGGGUUUCAUCCCGCAGCGGUGACUCCCCGAGUCCCGGAUAUGGACCCGUCGAGUCGCCUACUUAAAACGCGUCCUGAGUCUCGUCCCUACUCGGCGAGUCGGACCCUAUGACUCGCCGAGUCUAAGGCUAAAUUAGGGCAAUGCUCAAAUAAAAUUCACAUACCGGGAACCAGGUGCUACAGGAACACUUGGCGAUCAAGGAAGUCUUGGAGCUCUGGCAAACGUUGAAGGACCCUAAUCCUUCAUUCUUAAGAGAUUAUGGCACUUUAGGUUUAAUUUUCCACUUUUCCUUUGAAUAGAAUUAUGUUAGGAUUAUUUGAAUUCGUUUUUAAGCUUUCAUACGCUAAAAUCAUGAACUAAUUUCCUUAGUUUAUGUUUGCUGGAAACAAUUUUGCUCCCAUGGUUUAAUUUAC
rnacentral:lncRNA from 1 species